UACGGGGGGGGCAAGCGUUGUUCGGAAUUACUGGGCGUAAAGGGCGCGUAGGCGGUUCGCUAAGUUGAAUGUGAAAACUCUGGGCUUAACCCAGAGCCUGCAUUCAAUACUGGCGGGCUAGAGUUCUGGAGGGGAUAGCGGAAUUCCUGGUGUAGCGGUGAAAUGCGUAGAGAUCGGGAGGAACACCUGUGGCGAAGGCGGCCGGCUGGGGGUGCCCUGACGCUCAGGCACGAAAGCGUGGGGAGCAAACAGG
rnacentral:rRNA from 1 species